GGCCCAACAGCCCAAUUCACAGUUUGUAUUCAACUAUAUAAAUGUCAGGCUUGUUUCAACCCCAUACCAAUGCAGAGAAAUCUAGGGUUUUGUCAAUUAGGGUUCCUCUCUCUACCGCUCGAUGAGGUUUUGUUGUACUUCUUCUAAUUUAUCUUCUGCAAAAUAGUGAAGAUUAUUGCGAUGAAGAACGAAAUUGAAGAUGAAAAUCAUCGAUUAUAGAGUGGUUACUUGAUAAUCCCUCUGUAAGAUGAAUAACUAUCUGAUUAGACUGCCGAAUCGUAGGACGCUCAAAUUUCAUUAGUUUUGGAUCGUCUUGAACCCUCGGCAACAUUUUUUUUCUUCCUGAUUUCACUGUUUUUGAUUUAGUGGAUUUGUUGAUCUUGUUUCGUCGGGAGUGGUUAGGCAGAAUCUGUUUUACUUAUCAGCAUCUUUCUUCCUUAAAUUUCCUCAAAAUCUAAUAUUAUAUGUAUAUCAAGAAUGCAGCAUUGAACCUUGUUUCUUCAAUAAGGAUCCUAAUGCAAACGUAGUUCUUCCAAAUUGAAACAUAAAAGUUCAUUAGUGGAGUGGAAAACUGGAAUUCUAUCUCUGUAAAUUUCUUCCCUCGCAGGUGGAAAUUAAAUAGUCCCAAUAUAGGAUGGGAUUGUCGGCCUUUCCCAUCCCUACCCUGUGGACAUCGUAGUAUGCUACAAAUUAUGAACAAACAUUGUGAAAGGAGUUAAUCCUCAUAAGUCUUAGGGAUCCCUCCCUCCUUAUCACGCCAGCCGGAGAAAAGGGAGAUCGAGAGCCUUCAACGCACACGCACAAUUAGGUUAUACCAGAAAGAUAUAUAGGACGGCGGCGGAUUUGGUAGCAGCAUCGGGAACCACCACAAACCGAUUUGGGACCUUAUCAUUUGCUUUCGAAAUCUAUACUACAAUUCUCUGGAACUUGCGAAGCUUUAGUGAGCUUGGGCUUUCUUUAGUGAGAUUAUUUCAAAUCCACCAUGAUUUGUGUAGUUGGUUAAUUUCGGUCCAGCACAAGAGAAUAAAAUAAUAGUUAAAUUUCAAAUUUGAUAA